rnacentral:rRNA from 1 species
GGGUUGUGAGGUUAAGCGACUAAGCGUACACGGUGGAUGCCCUGGCAGUCAGAGGCGAUGAAGGACGUGCUAAUCUGCGAUAAGCGUCGGUAAGGUGAUAUGAACCGUUAUAACCGGCGAUUUCCGAAUGGGGAAACCCAGUGUGAUUCGUCACACUAUCAUUAACUGAAUCCAUAGGUUAAUGAGGCGAACCGGGGGAACUGAAACAUCUAAGUACCCCGAGGAAAAGAAAUCAACCGAGAUUCCCCCAGUAGCGGCGAGCGAACGGGGAGGAGCCCAGAGCCUGAAUCAGUGUGUGUGUUAGUGGAAGCGUCUGGAAAGGCGCGCGAUACAGGGUGACAGCCCCGUACACAAAAAUGCACAUACUGUGAGCUCGAUGAGUAGGGCGGGACACGUGGUAUCCUGUCUGAAUAUGGGGGGACCAUCCUCCAAGGCUAAAUACUCCUGACUGACCGAUAGUGAACCAGUACCGUGAGGGAAAGGCGAAAAGAACCCCGGCGAGGGGAGUGAAAAAGAACCUGAAACCGUGUACGUACAAGCAGUGGGAGCCUCUUAAUGGGGUGACUGCGUACCUUUUGUAUAAUGGGUCAGCGACUUAUAUUCUGUAGCAAGGUUAACCGAAUAGGGGAGCCGAAGGGAAACCGAGUCUUAACUGGGCGUUAAGUUGCAGGGUAUAGACCCGAAACCCGGUGAUCUAGCCAUGGGCAGGUUGAAGGUUGGGUAACACUAACUGGAGGACCGAACCGACUAAUGUUGAAAAAUUAGCGGAUGACUUGUGGCUGGGGGUGAAAGGCCAAUCAAACCGGGAGAUAGCUGGUUCUCCCCGAAAGCUAUUUAGGUAGCGCCUCGUGAAUUCAUCUCCGGGGGUAGAGCACUGUUUCGGCAAGGGGGUCAUCCCGACUUACCAACCCGAUGCAAACUGCGAAUACCGGAGAAUGUUAUCACGGGAGACACACGGCGGGUGCUAACGUCCGUCGUGAAGAGGGAAACAACCCAGACCGCCAGCUAAGGUCCCAAAGUCAUGGUUAAGUGGGAAACGAUGUGGGAAGGCCCAGACAGCCAGGAUGUUGGCUUAGAAGCAGCCAUCAUUUAAAGAAAGCGUAAUAGCUCACUGGUCGAGUCGGCCUGCGCGGAAGAUGUAACGGGGCUAAACCAUGCACCGAAGCUGCGGCAGCGACACUUAUGUGUUGUUGGGUAGGGGAGCGUUCUGUAAGCCUGUGAAGGUGUACUGUGAGGUAUGCUGGAGGUAUCAGAAGUGCGAAUGCUGACAUAAGUAACGAUAAAGCGGGUGAAAAGCCCGCUCGCCGGAAGACCAAGGGUUCCUGUCCAACGUUAAUCGGGGCAGGGUGAGUCGACCCCUAAGGCGAGGCCGAAAGGCGUAGUCGAUGGGAAACAGGUUAAUAUUCCUGUACUUGGUGUUACUGCGAAGGGGGGACGGAGAAGGCUAUGUUGGCCGGGCGACGGUUGUCCCGGUUUAAGCGUGUAGGCUGGUUUUCCAGGCAAAUCCGGAAAACUAAGGCUGAGGCGUGAUGACGAGGCACUACGGUGCUGAAGCAACAAAUGCCCUGCUUCCAGGAAAAGCCUCUAAGCAUCAGGUAACAUCAAAUCGUACCCCAAACCGACACAGGUGGUCAGGUAGAGAAUACCAAGGCGCUUGAGAGAACUCGGGUGAAGGAACUAGGCAAAAUGGUGCCGUAACUUCGGGAGAAGGCACGCUGAUAUGUAGGUGAAGCGACUUGCUCGUGGAGCUGAAAUCAGUCGAAGAUACCAGCUGGCUGCAACUGUUUAUUAAAAACACAGCACUGUGCAAACACGAAAGUGGACGUAUACGGUGUGACGCCUGCCCGGUGCCGGAAGGUUAAUUGAUGGGGUUAGCGGUAACGCGAAGCUCUUGAUCGAAGCCCCGGUAAACGGCGGCCGUAACUAUAACGGUCCUAAGGUAGCGAAAUUCCUUGUCGGGUAAGUUCCGACCUGCACGAAUGGCGUAAUGAUGGCCAGGCUGUCUCCACCCGAGACUCAGUGAAAUUGAACUCGCUGUGAAGAUGCAGUGUACCCGCGGCAAGACGGAAAGACCCCGUGAACCUUUACUAUAGCUUGACACUGAACAUUGAGCCUUGAUGUGUAGGAUAGGUGGGAGGCUUUGAAGUGUGGACGCCAGUCUGCAUGGAGCCGGCCUUGAAAUACCACCCUUUAAUGUUUGAUGUUCUAACGUUGGCCCCUGAUCGGGGUUGCGGACAGUGUCUGGUGGGUAGUUUGACUGGGGCGGUCUCCUCCUAAAGAGUAACGGAGGAGCACGAAGGUUGGCUAAUCCUGGUCGGACAUCAGGAGGUUAGUGCAAUGGCAUAAGCCAGCUUGACUGCGAGCGUGACGGCGCGAGCAGGUGCGAAAGCAGGUCAUAGUGAUCCGGUGGUUCUGAAUGGAAGGGCCAUCGCUCAACGGAUAAAAGGUACUCCGGGGAUAACAGGCUGAUACCGCCCAAGAGUUCAUAUCGACGGCGGUGUUUGGCACCUCGAUGUCGGCUCAUCACAUCCUGGGGCUGAAGUAGGUCCCAAGGGUAUGGCUGUUCGCCAUUUAAAGUGGUACGCGAGCUGGGUUUAGAACGUCGUGAGACAGUUCGGUCCCUAUCUGCCGUGGGCGCUGGAGAACUGAGGGGGGCUGCUCCUAGUACGAGAGGACCGGAGUGGACGCAUCACUGGUGUUCGGGUUGUCAUGCCAAUGGCACUGCCCGGUAGCUAAAUGCGGAAGAGAUAAGUGCUGAAAGCAUCUAAGCACGAAACUUGCCCCGAGAUGAGUUCUCCCUGACUCCUUGAGAGUCCUGAAGGAACGUUGAAGACGACGACGUUGAUAGGCCGGGUGUGUAAGCGCAGCGAUGCGUUGAGCUAACCGGUACUAAUGAACCGUG